rnacentral:lncRNA from 1 species
UAAAGAGAGAGAGAGAGAGAGAGAGACUGCGUACGGAUGAUCUUAAUUUCUGUAUUGUGUAAUAAAUUAAAUCGAUUAUAAUAUCGUUAGGAUCUACAAUUUUACAUAUUCACUAUCAAAGAGGAAAAAGAAUCCUAAAAGGAUAAAAACAAGUACAUAUUGAUUGCACCUUUGCGCAAUACUGCAAAACUUCAUAAGAAUCAAAACAAUUAAAGAACCAGAGAAUAUAAAAAAGAAAAGAAUUAUUUUGAAUAUAUAGUCUAAUGGCCGGGACCUCUUUUGCUUGGCCCAGACGCCAAUUUGAACAUCAAGCUCCGUAUAGCAGAACCACCGUUGCUACCAUUAGUACUGUCAUUAUUGGCAACCGCCACGCCGAACUGAGUCACGCUCAUCGAGUUAGCUCCUUCACCGGGUUGAUCGCAUUCGGCGGCAAUCGUAUUAUCUGUCGACGGUGUUGAUUUCUUCAGAGCUCUGCAUUCCACAACACUACUAAGCUGUGAAAUCAUGAACAAAAUCAUGAUACUCAAAACUAGACAAAAACUCUUCUUUGCCAUUGCCAUUAAUUUGUAUGUAUUGUCUUUACUAUUUUCUCUCUCCUCUCUGGGUUGUUUUUCUCUCUCUAGAUUUGCUCGGAGAAGUAGGUGGUGACGUUAAUGUGUGAGAUUGUUGAUGAAGCAACAAGGUGUGGAGCUACUGGUUUAUAAAUAGGGAGGACGGUAGAGGGCUUUUGAAUUAAUUGUGAGCCGGGCCCGAAAAACGUUUGACUUGGCGCUGCUGCUAUAUAUUUUCGUGUAAAUAUUGGCGGGUACGUGGUGAAGACUGAGGACUAACAAGUUGUUGAGCCUAGGCAUGAGCUUUUUACUUUGAUUCAGAAUUGUUUGAAUAUUUUAAUUUGACUUUGUACUCACUGACGUAUUUGAUGAUAUGACAUUUACUAUAUGUGCUCUUGCUACGUACACAUAUAGAGAAUUAAUAUUUUAUUAACUAAAUUUGAUAGCUCUACAAAUUUCUCAACGCAUAAAUAAUAAGUGAGAUUCACGUUCA